rnacentral:rRNA from 1 species
AGCAGCCGCGGUAAUUCCAGCUCCAAUAGCGUAUAUUAAAGUUGUUGCAGUUAAAAAGCUCGUAGUUGAAUUUCGGGGCCAGUAGGUUGGUCGUGCCACUGGUAUGCACUGGUCUCACUGGUCCCUCCUUCUUGUAGAACCGUGAUGGCAUUAAUUUGUUGUUGCGGGGAAACAGGACUGUUACUUUGAAAAAUUAGAGUGCUUAAAGCAGGCUCGCGCUUGAAUACAUUAGCAUGGAAUAACGGAAUAGGACGAUCGAACCUAUUUUGUUGGUUUCUAGGAUCGACGUAAUGAUUAAUAGGGAUAGUUGGGGGCAUUAGUAUUCAAUUGUCAGAGGUGAAAUUCUUGGAUUUAUUGAAGACUAACUACUGCGAAAGCAUUUGCCAAGGAUGUUUUCAUUAAUCAAGAACGAAAGUUAGGGGAUCGAAGACGAUCAGAUACCGUCGUAGUCUUAACCAUAAACUAUGCCGACUAGGGAUCGGAUGAAGUUAAUUUUUUAAUGACUCAUUCGGCGCCUUAC